rnacentral:rRNA from 1 species
GCAAGUCGAACGGCAGCACAAACUUCGGGUUUGGUGGCGAGUGGGCGAACGGGUGAGUAAUGCAUCGGAACGUGUCCUGAAGUGGGGGAUAACGCAUCGAAAGAUGCGCUAAUACCGCAUAAUCUCUGAGGAGAAAAGUGGGGGAUCGAAAGACCUCAUGCUUUUGGAGCGGCCGAUGUCUGAUUAGCUAGUUGGUGGGGUAAUGGCCUACCAAGGCGACGAUCAGUAGUUGGUCUGAGAGGAUGGCCAGCCACACUGGGACUGAGACACGGCCCAGACUCCUACGGGAGGCAGCAGUGGGGAAUUUUGGACAAUGGGCGCAAGCCUGAUCCAGCAAUGCCGCGUGAGUGAAGAAGGCCUUCGGGUUGUAAAGCUCUUUCAGUUGAGAAGAAAAAUUGUGACUAAUAAUCGCAAUUCAUGACAGUAUCAACAGAAGAAGCACCGGCUAACUACGUGCCAGCAGCCGCGGUAAUACGUAGGGUGCAAGCGUUAAUCGGA